GCCCCAGUAACGGCGAGUGAAGCGGCAACAGCUCAAAUUUGAAAUCUGGCCCUAGGCCCGAGUUGUAAUUUGCAGAGGAUGCUUCGGGCGCGACGCCUUCCAAGUCCCCUGGAACGGGGCGCCUUAGAGGGUGAGAGCCCCGUACGGUUGGACGUCAAGCCUGUGUGAAGCUCCUUCGACGAGUCGAGUAGUUUGGGAAUGCUGCUCAAAAUGGGAGGUAGACCCCUUCUAAAGCUAAAUACCGGCCAGAGACCGAUAGCGCACAAGUAGAGUGAUCGAAAGAUGAAAAGCACUUUGAAAAGAGGGUUAAACAGCACGUGAAAUUGUUGAAAGGGAAGCGCUCGUGACCAGACUUGCGCCGGGGCGAUCAUCUGGCGUUCUCGCCGGUGCACUCGCCUCGGCUCAGGCCAGCGUCGGUUCGGGAGGGGGGACAAAGGCGUCGGGGAUGUGGCUCCCUCGGGAGUGUUAUAGCCCGGCGUGCAAUGCCCCCGCCCGGACCGAGGUUCGCGCUCUGCAAGGACGCUGGCGUAAUGGUCACCAGCGGCCCGUCUUGAAACACGGACCAAGGAGUCGAGGUUCUGCGCGAGUGUUUGGGUGUCAAACCCGCACGCGUAAUGAAAGUGAACGUAGGUGGGAGCCUCGGCGCACCACCGACCGAUCCUGAUGUUCUCGGAUGGAUUUGAGUAGGAGCGUAGGGCCUCGGACCCGAAAGAUGGUGAACUAUGCUUGGAUAGGGUGAAGCCAGAGGAAACUCUGGUGGAGGCUCGCAGCGGUUCUGACGUGCAAAUCGAUCGUCAAAUCUGAGCAUGGGGGCGAAAGACUAAUCGAACCAUCUAGUA
rnacentral:rRNA from 1 species